rnacentral:rRNA from 1 species
UGCAAGUCGAGCGGUAGAGAGAAGCUUGCUUCUCUUGAGAGCGGCGGACGGGUGAGUAAUGCCUAGGAAUCUGCCUGGUAGUGGGGGAUAACGUUCGGAAACGGACGCUAAUACCGCAUACGUCCUACGGGAGAAAGCAGGGGACCUUCGGGCCUUGCGCUAUCAGAUGAGCCUAGGUCGGAUUAGCUAGUUGGUGAGGUAAUGGCUCACCAAGGCGACGAUCCGUAACUGGUCUGAGAGGAUGAUCAGUCACACUGGAACUGAGACACGGUCCAGACUCCUACGGGAGGCAGCAGUGGGGAAUAUUGGACAAUGGGCGAAAGCCUGAUCCAGCCAUGCCGCGUGUGUGAAGAAGGUCUUCGGAUUGUAAAGCACUUUAAGUUGGGAGGAAGGGCAGUUGCCUAAUACGCAACUGUUUUGACGUUACCGACAGAAUAAGCACCGGCUAACUCUGUGCCAGCAGCCGCGGUAAUACAGAGGGUGCAAGCGUUAAUCGGAAUUACUGGGCGUAAAGCGCGCGUAGGUGGUUUGUUAAGUUGGAUGUGAAAUCCCCGGGCUCAACCUGGGAACUGCAUUCAAAACUGACUGACUAGAGUAUGGUAGAGGGUGGUGGAAUUUCCUGUGUAGCGGUGAAAUGCGUAGAUAUAGGAAGGAACACCAGUGGCGAAGGCGACCACCUGGACUAAUACUGACACUGAGGUGCG